UACGUAGGGUGCAAGCGUUGUUCGGAAUUACUGGGCGUAAAGGGCUCGUAGGCGGCCAACUAAGUCAGACGUGAAAUCCCUCGGCUUAACCGGGGAACUGCGUCCGAUACUGGAUGGCUUGAGAUCGGGAGAGGGAUGCGGAAUUCCAGGUGUAGCGGUGAAAUGCGUAGAUAUCUGGAGGAACACCGGUGGCGAAGGCGGCAUCCUGGACCGACACUGACACUGAGGAGCGAAAGCCAGGGGAGCAAACGGG
rnacentral:rRNA from 1 species